rfam:Bacteroidetes bacterium GWA2_30_7 gwa2_scaffold_15179, whole genome shotgun sequence.
ACAGCGUAAGCCGAAAAGCUAUAAAAUAGUAGGCA